GCCGGCUGUGUGGCUUCCCGCUGCCCUGACACCCCCGCCUCUGCCGGCGCGGGGUCCCUGGGGGCCGCGGAGUCCUGUGACUGUGCAGGCUGAGACAGCGCAGGCUCUGCCCAUGAAGCCGGGGGGGUUUUAUCGCAUCCAGCACCACACACCCCUGAAGUCUGGUCAGUGGGGUCCUGUUCAGACAUCCCUCUGUCACUCAUCACCGAAAUAGGAGAGCCAGCCCUGCUGUCACAGUCAAGGAGGAAUACUAGGACUGAUGCUGCUGAAAACACUGAGACACAGCAAGGGAACUGAACUGUAAAUCAAUACCCUUUGAUCUAAACAUAAAAGUCUGGAAGGCUUACGUUGAGGAUAUCUUCCCUUGCACCUCGCUUCAUUGAGUUCUACUGCUAAAUCUGUUCUAAGGAAAUCAAAAGCGAUACUGAAUUGACAUUAAUCGCUCUCCUCAAGACUGCCAGAAGAUCUCGGUUCUGUUUGAAGAAAUUACUGGGUAACUUCAAAAAGGAGCCAUAAUCCUGCUUACAACACAGAAAUCCAGUGCUACCAGUGAUGUGACAGUGCAUAUGAGAGUGGGAAUUACUAGAGCUGAAAUGUUCAAUGAGACUAAGAAGAGAACCAUAUAAUUUGAAGUUCACAAAGGCAGAGAUCUACAAGCCAGCAGAAUUAGAGAUGAAGAACUGCUCUGUGGUAUUUAAAAUGUGUCUUUGCAUUUCCUGCAUAGCUGGAACCCUGCUCAUUAAAGGAUACCCUCAGCCUAACACAAUUCACAGCUAAAGAAAACCAGGGGAAGAGAGCCUUGGUUCCUCAGAGGUGAUGGACUGUGGACUAGAGGAUUCUUUAUUUUCAUCUGUUUAUCUUUAACAUUCUGCUGAAAUGCCCUUCAUAUUUCACCAAGUGCCAAAGCAGACCUGUGGACAGUAACAAGACUCUGUGCUGCUUCUCCCUGUUGAGUAGUGAAAGUUUUGUUCCUCUUUUACAGUGUUUAAUGUGUGUCACAUCAAAAAGAUUAAUUUAACCUGACAGAUGAAGAUAAUAGGGGAAAGAUUCUGGAAAUAUUAUUACGGGUGAUGAGCUCCAGCAGCAAAUAAUUCAGGAAGAAGUUUACUGAAGGAAGCUCCCAGGCUCAACCACAAAACCC